rnacentral:rRNA from 1 species
AACGAACGCUGGCGGCGUGCCUAACACAUGCAAGUCGAGCGCGAAAAGGGCAACCUGAGUAGAGCGGCGCACGGGUGCGUAACACGUGGGUAAUCUGCCUCAAUGUCUGGGAUAACCUUCCGAAAGGUUGGCUAAUACCGGAUAAGCUCUCGGGGUCUUCGGACUCUGCGGGAAAAGGUGGCCUCUAUUUAUAAUCCAUCACAUUGAGAUGAGCCCGCGGCCCAUCAGCUAGUUGGCGGGGUAACGGCCCACCAAGGCUACGACGGGUAGCUGGUCUGAGAGGACGAUCAGCCACACUGGAACUGAGACACGGUCCAGACUCCUACGGGAGGCAGCAGUGGGGAAUUUUGCACAAUGGGCGAAAGCCUGAUGCAGCAACGCCGCGUGUGUGAUGAAGGUCUUCGGAUCGUAAAGCACUUUCGACCGGGACG